UACGAAGGGGGCGAGCGUUGUUCGGAAUUACUGGGCGUAAAGCGUGCGCAGGCGGUUGGUUAAGUCUGAUGUGAGAGCCCCGAGCUCAACUUGGGAAUGGCAUUGGAAACUGGCUGGCUAGAGUGUGGCAGAGGGGGGUGGAAUUCCGCGUGUAGCAGUGAAAUGCGUAGAGAUGCGGAGGAACACCGAUGGCGAAGGCAGCCCCCUGGGCUGACACUGACGCUCAGGCACGAAAGCGUGGGGAGCAAACAGG
rnacentral:rRNA from 1 species